CCUACGGGAGGCUGCAGUGGGGAAUAUUGGACAAUGGGGGGAACCCUGAUCCAGCCAUGCCGCGUGUGUGAAGAAGGCCCUCGGGUUGUAAAGCACUUUCAGUGAGGAAGAACGCCUGGUGGUUAAUACCCAUCAGGAAAGACAUCACUCACAGAAGAAGCACCGGCUAACUCCGUGCCAGCAGCCGCGGUAAUACGGAGGGUGCGAGCGUUAAUCGGAAUUACUGGGCGUAAAGCGCGCGUAGGUGGCUUGAUAAGCCGGUUGUGAAAGCCCCGGGCUCAACCUGGGAACGGCAUCCGGAACUGUCAAGCUAGAGUGCAGGAGAGGAAUGUAGAAUUCCCGGUGUAGCGGUGAAAUGCGUAGAGAUCGGGAGGAAUACCAGUGGCGAAGGCGGCCUUCUGGACUGACACUGACACUGAGGUGCGAAAGCGUGGGUAGCAAACAGGAUUAGAUACCCGGGUAGUC
rnacentral:rRNA from 1 species